AUUGAACGCUGGCGGGAGGCCUAACACAUGCAAGUCGAGCGGAUGAAGGGAGCUUGCUCCUGGAUUCAGCGGCGGACGGGUGAGUAAUGCCUAGGAAUCUGCCUGGUAGUGGGGGAUAACGUCCGGAAACGGGCGCUAAUACCGCAUAAGUCCUGAGGGAGAAAGUGGGGGAUCUUCGGACCUCACGCUAUCAGAUGAGCCUAGGUCGGAUUUGCUAGUUGGUGGGGUAAAGGCCUACCAAGGCGACGAUCCGUAACUGGUCUGAGGGGAUGAGCAGUCACACUGGAACUGAGACACGGUCCAGACUCCUACGGGAGGCAGCAGUGGGGAAUAUGGGACGAAGGGGGAAAGCCUGAUCCAGCCAUGCCGCGUGUGUGAAGAAGGUCUUCGGAUUGUAAAGCACUUUAAGUUGGGAGGAAGGGCAGUAAGUUAAUACCUUGCUGUUUUGACGUUACCAACAGAAUAAGCACCGGCUAACUUCGUG
rnacentral:rRNA from 1 species